rnacentral:rRNA from 1 species
GCAAGUCGAGGGGUAACAUUGUGCUUGCACAGAUGACGACCGGCGCACGGGUGCGUAACGCGUAUAGAACCUACCUUUUACAGAGGGAUAGCCUUUAGAAAUGAAGAUUAAUACCUUAUAGUAUUGAGACUUGGCAUCAAGUUUUAAUUAAAGAUUUAUCGGUAAAAGAUGGCUAUGCGUCCUAUUAGUUAGUUGGUAAGGUAACGGCUUACCAAGACAUUGAUAGGUAGGGGUCCUGAGAGGGAGAUC